AGCGAACGCUGGCGGCAGGCCUAACACAUGCAAGUCGAACGAACUCUUCGGAGUUAGUGGCGGACGGGUGAGUAACACGUGGGAACGUGCCUUUAGGUUCGGAAUAACUCAGGGAAACUUGUGCUAAUACCGAAUGUGCCCUUCGGGGGAAAGAUUUAUCGCCUUUAGAGCGGCCCGCGUCUGAUUAGCUAGUUGGUGAGGUAAAGGCUCACCAAGGCGAGGAUCAGUAGCUGGUCUGAGAGGAUGAUCAGCCACAUUGGGACUGAGACACGGCCCAAACUCCUACGGGAGGCAGCAGUGGGGAAUCUUGCGCAAUGGGCGAAAGCCUGACGCAGCCAUGCCGCGUGAAUGAUGAAGGUCUUAGGAUUGUAAAAUUCUUUCACCGAGGACGAUAAUGACGGUACCCGGAGAAGAAGCCCCGGCUAACUUCGUG
rnacentral:rRNA from 1 species